UCUGCUUUAAGUUCCGCUAUUUCCUCUUCUCUCUCUAGUAAGUGUUCCCGUGCUUGAUUUAGUUCCUUGUUUACUGUUGCUAAUUCCUGCGGCUGACUUUGUUGCACCGGUCU